rnacentral:lncRNA from 1 species
UCAAUAUUCAGCUAUCAGUUAUUCAAUUAAUCAGAUCAGCUAAGUAUAUGUUAUAUUUAGUUUUGUAUGUUUAUGCAUUCGUGCUCAGUAUAAUUAUAUAUUCAGAUCCUCAAGUUAUGCCAGUUUUCAUCACGUAGUUUCAGACCCAGUAUACAUACAGUAUCCAUGUUUUACUGUUUUCCAGCUUCAGUCCAACUUAUAUUAUAAAAGUAAUGUUUUAAGAAAC